AUUGAACGCUGGCGGCAUGCCUUACACAUGCAAGUCGAACGGUAACAGGUCUUCGGAUGCUGACGAGUGGCGAACGGGUGAGUAAUACAUCGGAACGUGCCUAGUAGUGGGGGGUAACUACUCGAAAGAGUGGCUAAUACCGCAUGAGAUCUACGGAUGAAAGCAGGGGAUCGCAAGACCUUGUGCUACUAGAGCGGCCGAUGGCAGAUUAGGUAGUUGGUGGGAUAAAAGCUUACCAAGCCGACGAUCUGUAGCUGGUCUGAGAGGACGAUCAGCCACACUGGGACUGAGACACGGCCCAGACUCCUACGGGAGGCAGCAGUGGGGAAUUUUGGACAAUGGGCGCAAGCCUGACCCAGCAAUGCCGCGUGCAGGAUGAAGGCCUUCGGGUUGUAAACUGCUUUUGUACGGAACGAAAAGCCCUGGGUUAAUACCCUGGGGUCAUGACGGUACCGUAAGAAUAAGCACCGGCUAACUACGUGCCAGCCGCCGCCGUAAAAC
rnacentral:rRNA from 1 species